UGGGACAACUAAAAGAAAUGUAGAAGAAAACUCACAGAAACAUACAAUCUCCCAAAAUUAAAACAGGAAGAAAUAGAAUAUUUGAACAGACCAAU